rnacentral:rRNA from 1 species
AUUGAACGCUGGCGGCAUGCUUUACACAUGCAAGUCGAACGGUAACAGGCCUUCGGGUGCUGACGAGUGGCGAACGGGUGAGUAAUGCAUCGGAACGUGCCCAAUCGUGGGGGAUAACGUAGCGAAAGUUACGCUAAUACCGCAUAAGCCCUGAGGGGGAAAGCAGGGGAUCGCAAGACCUUGCGCGAAUGGAGCGGCCGAUGUCAGAUUAGCUAGUUGGUGGGGUAAAGCCUACCAAGGCGACGAUCUGUAGCGGGUCUGAGAGGAUGAUCCGCCACACUGGGACUGAGACACAGCCCAGACUCCUACGGGAGGCAGCAGUGGGGAAUUUUGGACAAUGGGUGCAAGCCUGAUCCAGCCAUGCCGCGUGCGGGACGAAGGCC